ACCCAGACUCCUACGGGAGGCAGCAGUGGGGGAUAUUGCACAAUGGGGGAAACCCUGAUGCAGCGACGCCGCGUGGGUGAAGAAGCGCCUCGGCGCGUAAAGCCCUGUCAGCAGGGAAGAAAAUGACGGUACCUGAAGAAGAAGCCCCGGCUAACUACGUGCCAGCAGCCGCGGUAAUACGUAGGGGGCAAGCGUUAUCCGGAUUUACUGGGUGUAAAGGGGGCGCGGGCGGGACUGCAAGUUGGGUGUCAAAUCUGCCGGCUCAACCGGUAGCCGCACUCAAAACUGCAGUUCUUGAGUGAAGUAGAGGCAGGCGGAAUUCCUAGUGUAGCGGUGAAAUGCGUAGAUAUUAGGAGGAACACCAGUGGCGAAGGCGGCCUGCUGGGCUUUUACUGACGCUGAGGCUCGAAAGCGUGGGGAGCAAACAGGAUUAGAUACCCGAGUA
rnacentral:rRNA from 1 species